CCCCUAGAUGUUCUGGGCCGCACGCGCGCUACACUGAACAGUUCAACAAGUCUUAACCUUGGCCGAUAGGUCUGGGUAAUCUUUGAACGCUGUUCGUGAUUGGGUUAGACCUUUGCAAUUAUGGGUCUUCAACGAGGAAUUCCUAGUAAACGCAAGUCAUCAGCUUGCAUUGAUUACGUCCCUGCCCUUUGUACACACCGCCCGUCGCACCUACCGAUUGAAUGGUCCGGUGAAAUCUCGGGACGGCGGCUUGGUCGCUUGCGUCCGACUGCUGAAACUUGAUUAAACCAUAUCAUUUAGAGGAAGGUGAAGUCGUAACA
rnacentral:rRNA from 1 species